UAACUGACCCUGUGGCAGCAGCAUGUAGCAGAGAGCUGACACUGCGAGCAAAAAUGUGAAGUGGAAAAUGACCAAUACUGAACUCCUUCACAGCCACCCCAUCUACAUCUUUAGGCAUUUCUGGUUCGUUCAUAACCGAAAAUUCUUCAGUGUGUGAAGUUGACAUUUCCAAGUGCCGUCUUCAAUUCACUUCAUAGCCUGUUGCACGUACCACGAAUGGCCGUCGUCAACGGACCCAAAUGUCUCAGCUGGGGCAACUUGAUGUUCGGGUAGCACGUGCGGAUGGUCGUGCACGAGCCGAAGCGGCCGUCUCUGGUGAAACACGAGCGCUCCUUCUCCUUCAUGAAGCUGUUGCUCAGCAGAUAGUUCUGGUACGCGCCCUCGUCCUCUGCAACGUCGCCGGCUGCAAAAUCGACAGGCACAUCACGUCAACGUUUCGACAGAUAAACAUGACUGAAUUUCAAUUGGAAAUUGGAAAUGAAACGCGAUUCCGAAAAGAAGAAAGGAACGGGUUUCUUUUGUUAAGCCGAAAACCAGUUGUUGGAUUUGAAUGUUUGGCCCCUUGCUUUGGCCCCAUAAAUUUGGGACUUGUGGAAUUCUGUCAAAAUUCGAUUCCGGCAAGAUCACAAGCAAAAAAAAAAAAAUAAGAAUAAUAAUAAAAAAAAAACAAACGCGAAUUUCACCUUCGAUGACGAUGGCAUCGCUAGUUUGGUAGAUGCUUGCCGUAA